rnacentral:tRNA from 1 species
GCCGCAUAAACGCUCGAUUGUGGAGUUGAUUUGUAAUCAGUAGGUCCCGGGUUCGACUCCUGGUGCCGGCACCA